CCUUAGAGUUUGAUCCUGGCUCAGGAUGAACGCUAGCUACAGGCUUAACACAUGCAAGUCGAGGGGCAGCAUUUUAGUUUGCUUGCAAACUAAAGAUGGCGACCGGCGCACGGGUGAGUAACACGUAUCCAACCUGCCGAUAACUCUGGGAUAGCCUUUCGAAAGAAAGAUUAAUACCGGAUGGCAUAGGAUUAUCGCAUGAUAAUCCUAUUAAAGAAUUUCGGUUAUCGAUGGGGAUGCGUUCCAUUAGGCAGUUGGUGAGGUAACGGCUCACCAAACCUUCGAUGGAUAGGGGUUCUGAGAGGAAGGUCCCCCACAUUGGAACUGAGACACGGUCCAAACUCCUACGGGAGGCAGCAGUGAGGAAUAUUGGUCAAUGGACGGGAGUCUGAACCAGCCAAGUAGCGUGAAGGAUGACUGCCCUAUGGGUUGUAAACUUCUUUUAUACGGGAAUAAAGUGAUCCACGUGUGGAUUUUUGUAUGUACCGUAUGAAUAAGGAUCGGCUAACUCCGUACCAGCAGCCGCGGUAAUACGGAGGAUCCGAGCGUUAUCCGGAUUUAUUGGGUUUAAAGGGAGCGUAGGUGGAUUGUUAAGUCAGUUGUGAAAGUUUGCGGCUCAACCGUAAAAUUGCAGUUGAUACUGGCAGUCUUGAGUACAGUAGAGGUGGGCGGAAUUCGUGGUGUAGCGGUGAAAUGCUUAGAUAUCACGAAGAACUCCGAUUGCGAAGGCAGCUCACUGGACUGCAACUGACACUGAUGCUCGAAAGUGUGGGUAUCAAACAGGAUUAGAUACCCUGGUAGUCCACACAGUAAACGAUGAAUACAAGGUGUGCGGGGACUGACCCCAUGCAUACAGCAGUUAACACAAUAAGUAUUCCACAUGGAGAGUACGAUCGCAUGGUUGAAACUCAAAGGAAUUGAAGGGGGCCCGCACAAAGCGGUGGAUUAUGUGGUUUAAUUCGACACAACGCGAAGAACCUUACCAGGGCUUGACAUCCUACUAACGAAGUAGAGAUACAUCAGGUGCCCUUCGGGGAAAGUAGAGACAGGUGGUGCAUGGUUGUCGUCAGCUCGUGUCGUGAGAUGUUGGGUUAAGUCCCGCAACGAGCGCAACCCCUAUUGUUAGUUGCUACGCAAGAGCACUCUAGCGAGACUGCCGUUGACAAAACGGAGGAAGGUGGGGACGACGUCAAAUCAUCAUGCCCCUUAUGACCUGGGCUACACACGUAAUACAAUGGUCAUUAACAGAGGGAAGCAAAGCCGCGAGGCAGAGCAAAACCCCAAAAAUGAUCUCAGUUCGGAUCGCAGGCUGCAACCCGCCUGCGUGAAGUUGGAAUUGCUAGUAAUCGCAGAUCAGCAUGCUGCGGUGAAUACGUUAAGGGGUCUUGCACUCACCGCCCGUCAAG
rnacentral:rRNA from 1 species